AGCGUUCUGUAAGCCUGCGAAGGUGGCCUGUGAGGGUUGCUGGAGGUAUCAGAAGUGCGAAUGCUGACAUAAGUAACGAUAAAGCGGGUGAAAAGCCCGCUCGCCGGAAGACCAAGGGUUCCUGUCCAACGUUAAUCGGGGCAGGGUGAGUCGACCCCUAAGGCGAGGCCGAAAGGCGUAGUCGAUGGGAAACGGGUUAAUAUUCCCGUACUUGGUGUUACUGCGAAGGGGGGACGGAGAAGGCUAUGUUGGCCGGGCGACGGUUGUCCCGGUUUAAGCGUGUAGGUGUGUGUUCCAGGUAAAUCCGGUUCACUUUAACACUGAGGCGUGACGACGAGGCACUACGGUGCUGAAGCAACAAAUGCCCUGCUUCCAGGAAAAGCCUCUAAGCAUCAGGUAACAUCAAAUCGUACCCCAAACCGACACAGGUGGUCAGGUAGAGAAUACCAAGGCGCUUGAGAGAACUCGGGUGAAGGAACUAGGCAAAAUGGUGCCGUAACUUCGGGAGAAGGCACGCUGACACGUAGGUGAAGUGAUUUACUCAUGGAGCUGAAGUCAGUCGAAGAUACCAGCUGGCUGCAACUGUUUAUUAAAAACACAGCACUGUGCAAACACGAAAGUGGACGUAUACGGUGUGACGCCUGCCCGGUGCCGGAAGGUUAAUUGAUGGGGUCAGCGCAAGCGAAGCUCCUGAUCGAAGCCCCGGUAAACGGCGGCCGUAACUAUAACGGUCCUAAGGUAGCGAAAUUCCUUGUCGGGUAAGUUCCGACCUGCACGAAUGGCGUAAUGAUGGCCAGGCUGUCUCCACCCGAGACUCAGUGAAAUUGAACUCGCUGUGAAGAUGCAGUGUACCCGCGGCAAGACGGAAAGACCCCGUGAACCUUUACUAUAGCUUGACACUGAACAUUGAGCCUUGAUGUGUAGGAUAGGUGGGAGGCUUUGAAGUGUGGACGCCAGUCUGCAUGGAGCCGACCUUGAAAUACCACCCUUUAAUGUUUGAUGUUCUAACGUGGACCCGUUACCCGGGUUGCGGACAGUGUCUGGUGGGUAGUUUGACUGGGGCGGUCUCCUCCUAAAGAGUAACGGAGGAGCACGAAGGUUGGCUAAUCCUGGUCGGACAUCAGGAGGUUAGUGCAAUGGCAUAAGCCAGCUUGACUGCGAGCGUGACGGCGCGAGCAGGUGCGAAAGCAGGUCAUAGUGAUCCGGUGGUUCUGAAUGGAAGGGCCAUCGCUCAACGGAUAAAAGGUACUCCGGGGAUAACAGGCUGAUACCGCCCAAGAGUUCAUAUCGACGGCGGUGUUUGGCACCUCGAUGUCGGCUCAUCACAUCCUGGGGCUGAAGUAGGUCCCAAGGGUAUGGCUGUUCGCCAUUUAAAGUGGUACGCGAGCUGGGUUUAGAACGUCGUGAGACAGUUCGGUCCCUAUCUGCCGUGGGCGCUGGAGAACUGAGGGGGGCUGCUCCUAGUACGAGAGGACCGGAGUGGACGCAUCACUGGUGUUCGGGUUGUCAUGCCAAUGGCACUGCCCGGUAGCUAAAUGCGGAAGAGAUAAGUGCUGAAAGCAUCUAAGCACGAAACUUGCCCCGA
rnacentral:rRNA from 1 species